UACGUAGGGGGCAAGCGUUGUCCGGAAUUAUUGGGCGUAAAGAGCGUGUAGGCGGUUUGGUAGGUCCGCUGUGAAAACUCGAGGCUCAACCUCGAGACGCCGGUGGAAACCAUCAGACUAGAGUCCGGAAGAGGAGAGUGGAAUUCCUGGUGUAGCGGUGAAAUGCGCAGAUAUCAGGAAGAACACCCGUGGCUAAGGCGGCUCUCUAGUACGGUACUGACGCUGAGACGCGAAAGCGUGGGGAGCGAACAGG
rnacentral:rRNA from 1 species